ACGGUCAUACCUGGUUGGAAACGCCGGAUCCCGUCCGAUCUCCGAAGCUAAGCAACCAUGGGCGUGUCUAGUACUCGGGUGGGGGACCACCGGGGAAGCGCACGUACCGUACAGAACCACACAUUUCACUGACUGGGAGGACUCUGAGGCGGGCUGCCGCGGGAGCCGCAGGGCCGCCGAAGCCG
rnacentral:rRNA from 1 species